rnacentral:rRNA from 1 species
GAUGAACGCUGGCGGCGUGCCUAACACAUGCAAGUCGAGCGAUUCUCUUCGGAUAAGAGCGGCGGACGGGUGAGUAACGCGUGGGUAACCUGCCCUGUACACACGGAUAACAUACCGAAAGGUAUGCUAAUACGAGAUAUUAUGCUCUUAUCGCAUGGUAGAAGUAUCAAAGCUUUUGCGGUACAGGAUGGACCCGCGUCUGAUUAGCUAGUUGGUAAGGUAACGGCUUACCAAGGCGACGAUCAGUAGCCGACCUGAGAGUGUGAUCGGCCACAUUGGAACUGCGACACGGUCCAAACUCCUACGGGAGGCAGCAGUGGGGAAUAUUGCACAAUGGGCGAAAGCCUGAUGCAGCAACGCCGCGUGAGCGAUGAAGGCCUUCGGGUCGUAAAGCUCUGUCCUCAAGGAAGAUAAUGACGGUACUUGAGGAGGAAGCCCCGGCUAACUACGUGCCAGCCGCCGCGGUAA